UACGUAGGGUCCGAGCGUUGUCCGGAGUUACUGGGCGUAGAGCGCGCGCAGGCGGCGGUGCUGGCCCGGCGUGAAAGCCCCCGGCUCAACCGGGGAGGGUCGUCGGGGACCGCACCGCUUGAGGGCGGUAGGGGCUGGUGGAAUGCCUGGUGUAGUGGUGAAAUGCGUAGAGAUCAGGCGGAACACCCGUGGCGAAGGCGGCCAGCUGGGCCGUCCCUGACGCUGAGGCGCGAAGGCGUGGGGAGCGAACGGG
rnacentral:rRNA from 1 species